AUUGAACGCUGGCGGCAUGCCUUACACAUGCAAGUCGAACGGCAGCACGGGAGCAAUCCUGGUGGCGAGUGGCGAACGGGUGAGUAAUAUAUCGGAACGUGCCCAGUCGUGGGGGAUAACGUAGCGAAAGCUACGCUAAUACCGCAUACGAUCUAUGGAUGAAAGCGGGGGAUCGCAAGACCUCGCGCGAUUGGAGCGGCCGAUAUCAGAUUAGGUAGUUGGUGGGGUAAAAGCCUACCAAGCCUUCGAUCUGUAGCUGGUCUGAGAGGACGACCAGCCACACUGGAACUGAGACACGGUCCAGACUCCUACGGGAGGCAGCAGUGGGGAAUUUUGGACAAUGGGCGCAAGCCUGAUCCAGCAAUGCCGCGUGCAGGACGAAGGCCUUCGGUUGUAACUAGCUUUGUACGGAACGAAAGACCUUCUUCUAAUACAGAGGGUCGAUGACGGUACCGUAA
rnacentral:rRNA from 1 species